UACGAAGGGGGCUAGCGUUGUUCGGAAUUACUGGGCGUAAAGGGCGCGUAGGCGGUACUUCAAGUCAGGCGUGAAAGCCCCGGGCUCAACCUGGGAACCGCGCUUGAGACUGGAGAACUAGAGUUCGGGAGAGGAUGGUGGAAUUCCCAGUGUAGAGGUGAAAUUCGUAGAUAUUGGGAAGAACACCGAUGGCGAAGGCAGCCAUCUGGACAGUGACUGACGCUGAGACGCGAAAGCGUGGGGAGCAAACAGGAUUGAGAA
rnacentral:rRNA from 1 species